GCUUACGGCCAUACCACCUUAGGCACGCCCGAUCUCGUCUGAUCUCGGAAGCUAAGCAGGGUCGGGGCUGGUUAGUACUUGGAUGGGUGACCGCCUGGGAAUAUCAGGUGCUGUAAGCA
rnacentral:rRNA from 1 species